rnacentral:rRNA from 1 species
GAGUUUGAUCCUGGCUCAGGAUGAACGCUAGCGGAACGCCUAACACAUGCAAGUCGAACGAUUCUCUUUUGAAGCUUGCUUCAGAAGAUGCAAUAGUGGCAGACGAGCGAGUAACGCGUACUUAACUUGCCCUCAAGAUGGGAACAACUACAGAGAUGUAGCUAAUUCCCAAUAUGCUCACGAUGGUGAAAUCCCGAUGUGAGGAAAGAUUUAUCGCUUGAGGAGAGGGGUGCGUCCUAUCAGAUUGUUGGUGAGGUAAUAGCUCACCAAGUCUAUGACGGGUAGCCGGUUUGAGAUGAUGUCCGGCCGCGAUGGAACUGAGAUACGGUCCAUACUCCUACGGGAGGCAGCAGUGGGGAAUCUUGCACAAUGGGCGAAAGCCUGAUGCAGCGAUUCCGCGUGGAGGAUGAAGCAUUACGGUGUGUAAACUCCUUUUUUGGUGGAAGACGAAUGACGGUACACCAAGAAUAAGGGACGGCUAGCUACGUGCCAGCAGCCGGCGGUAAUACUUAGGUCCCAAGCGUUAUCCGGAUUUACUGGGCGUAAAGUGUCCUUAGCCCGAUAUAUAAGUCUGUUUUCAAAUACUGUGGCUCAACCAUAGCAAGGGAAUAGAUACUGUAUAUCUAGAGAAUAUUGGAGGUUAGUGGAAUUUCCGGUGGAGCGGUGAAAUGCGUUGAUAUCGGAAGGAACGCCGAAAGCGAAAGCAGCUAACUAUGAUUAUUCUGACGGUGAGGGACGACAGCUUGAGGAGCAAACGGGAUUAGAUACCCCGGUAGUUCAAGCCGUAAAUGAUCUUUGCUAGGUGUUCCAGCACCAUUUUUUACAGAAUGCAUAUAACAUUCUUUUGUGAAUAUUUUUUCAUAUGAAGAUAUGUUUUAAUAUUGUGUUUUUUGGAAAAUGGUGCUGGAGUGCCGUAAGUUAACACGUUAAGCAAAGCGCCUGGGUAGUAUAUUCGCAAGAAUGAAACUCAAAGGGAUAGGCGGGGGAGC